rnacentral:rRNA from 1 species
AGCGAACGCUGGCGGCGUGCUUAACACAUGCAAGUCGAGUGCGUAGCCCUUUGUAGCAAUACAGAGGGUGGGCGCACGGCGCACGGGUGAGUAACACGUGGGUAACCUGCCCUUCGGUGGGGAAUAACCCCGCGAAAGCGGGGCUAAUUCCGCAUAACAUUCCGGGGACACAUGUUCUCGGACUCAAAGGAGUGAUUCGCCGGAGGAGGGGCCCGCGCCCGAUUAGCUUGUUGGUAGGGUAACGGCCUACCAAGGCUUUGAUCGGUAGCCGGUCUGAGAGGAUGGCCGGCCACACUGGAACUGAGACACGGUCCAGACUCCUACGGGAGGCAGCAGUGGGGAAUCUUGCGCAAUGGGCGAAAGCCUGACGCAGCGACGCCGC